rnacentral:rRNA from 1 species
UUGAAACUGCAUGGCUGGCGUGAGUGUGAGGUAGGCGGAAUGCGUUGUGUAGCGGUGAAAUGCAUAGAUAUGACGCAGAACUCCGAUUGCGAAGGCAGCUUACCAACACUUUACGGACGCUGAGGCACGAAAGCGUGGGUAUCGAACAGGAUUAGAUACCCUGGUAGUCCACGCAGUAAACGAUGAAUACUAAUUGUUCGGGGGGCAACCCCUGAGUGAUACAGCGAAAGCGUUAAGUAUUCCACCUGGGGAGUACGCCGGCAACGGUGAAACUCAAAGGAAUUGACGGGGGCCCGCACAAGCGGAGGAACAUGUGGUUUAAUUCGAUGAUACGCGAGGAACCUUACCCGGGCUCAAACGUUGGGGGAAUGACGGUGAAAGCCGUCAGCCAGCAAUGGUCGCCAACGAGGUGCUGCAUGGUUGUCGUCAGCUCGUGCCGUGAGGUGUCGGCUUAAGUGCCAUAACGAGCGCAACCCCUGCGUCCAGUUACCAUCAAGUCAUGUUGGGGACUCUGGACGGACUGCCGGCGCAAGCCGUGAGGAAGGCGGGGAUGACGUCAAAUCAGCACGGCCCUUACGUCCGGGGCGACACACGUGUUACAAUGGCGUGGAACAGCGGGAAGCCACCUGGCGACAGGGAGCGGACCCCUAAAACACGUCUCAGUUCGGAUUGGAGUCUGCAACUCGACUCCAUGAAGCUGGAUUCGCUAGUAAUCGCGCAUCAGCCAUGGCGCGGUGAAUACGUUCCCGGGCCUUGUACACACCGCCCGUCAAGCCACGGGAGCCGGGAGUGCCUGAAGUACGUAACCGGAAGGAGCGUCCAAGGGUAACACUGGUGACUGGGGCUAAGUCGUAACAAGGUAACCA